GCAGCCGCGGUAAUACGUAGGUGACGAGCGUUAUCCGGAAUUAUUGGGUGUAAAGGGUGCGUAGGCGGGCUGUAAAGUCAGGCGUGAAAUGCAGGAGCUUAACUCCUGAACUGCGCUUGAAACUUACGGUCUUGAGUGAAGUAGAGGUAAGCGGAAUUCCUAGUGUAGCGGUGAAAUGCGUAGAUAUUAGGAGGAACACCAGUGGCGAAGGCGGCUUACUGGGCUUUUACUGACGCUGAGGCACGAAAGUGUGGGGAGCAAACAGGAUUAGAUACCCC
rnacentral:rRNA from 1 species